AUAGUACUCCUUCCGUCCAAUAAAAGAUGUCUCAAGUUUGUCAAAAGUUGGACAUAUCUAGACAUGAAUUAGUUUAUAUACGCAUUCAAAUUUAAUCAAAGUUGACACAUCGUUUGUUGGACGGAUGGAGUAACAA
rnacentral:pre_miRNA from 1 species